rnacentral:rRNA from 1 species
CCUACGGGAGGCAGCAGUGGGGAAUUGUUCGCAAUGGGCGAAAGCCUGACGACGCAACGCCGCGUGGAGGAUGAAGACCUUCGGGUCGUAAACUCCUUUCGAUCGAGACGAAUGGCCUCCGGGUAAAUACUCCGGAGGAGUGACGGUACCGAGAGAAGAAGCCCCGGCUAACUCCGUGCCAGCAGCCGCGGUAAUACGGGGGGGGCAAGCGUUGUUCGGAAUUACUGGGCGUAAAGGGCUCGUAGGCGGCCAACUAAGUCAGACGUGAAAUCCCUCGGCUUAACCGGGGAACUGCGUCUGAUACUGGAUGGCUUGAGUUCGGGAGAGGGAUGCGGAAUUCCAGGUGUAGCGGUGAAAUGCGUAGAUAUCUGGAGGAACACCGGUGGCGAAGGCGGCAUCCUGGACCGACACUGACGCUGAGGAGCGAAAGCCAGGGGAGCAAACGGGAUUAGAUACCCCGGUAGUCCUGGCCCUAAACGAUGAAUGCUUGGUGUGGCGGGUAUCGAUCCCUGCCGUGCCGAAGCUAACGCAUUAAGCAUUCCGCCUGGGGAGUACGGUCGCAAGGCNGAACGUAAAGUAAGUUAGACGGCGNGAGACGNGCCGAACGGACGACGACGAGGGAGGUAGG